AUGUGGCAGAUUUUGGGCAAGAGAAACACCCAGUCCCGCCAUGGAAGGAAGAUCCUCUUCGUCUCUCCUCCUAACCAACCCGGUACCAUUUCCCGCCAAAACCCACCCUAAAUCAUCUCCCAAUCUUCAACUUGACCAUCCACGUCCAUACCCUCUCAACUGCUUCAUCAAAACAAAGAUAUCAUCAGUAGCAUCUCCACUGACUCAGAUCCAAACUAACCCCAAUCAGCACACCAAGCCCUUCAAAUCUCCCUCCAGGAAACGGAGAUUCACAGAGAAAGAUGCAUUCCCGUUGUCUUUACCCCUCCACACAAAGAAUCCACAUGUCAUCUAUGAAGACAUCAAGAGAUUCGCUCGGCAAGGGAAGCUCAAGGAAGCCCUCACCAUCUUGGAUUACUUGGAGCAGCAAGGCAUCCCAGUUAACGCAACCACUUUCUCUUCGCUCCUUGCGGCUUGUGUUCGAUCCAAGUCUCUCGUUGAAGGUAGGCAAAUCCAUGCCUUUAUCCGGAUAAAUGGGCUGGAGGACAACGAUUUCCUCCGGACAAAACUGGUUCACAUGUACACAUCAUGCGGCUCCAUUGAAGACGCGAAGAGGGUAUUCGCUGACCUCCCACAUGGGAGCGUCUAUCCAUGGAAUGCCUUACUCAGAGGCAAUGUAGUUAGAGGCGGGCGGCAAUAUCGUGAAGUACUCGCUACGUAUACGAAAAUGCGGGAGUUAGGAGUUGAGUUGAACGUCUACACCUUCUCUUGUUUGCUGAAGAGCUUUGCAGGUUCCACUGCAUUCACCCAGGGGAUGAAGACUCAUGCCUUUUUGAUCAAGAAUGGGUUUGCCAGUAACUCCAUUAUUCUUCAGACUAGUUUGAUCGAUUUGUACUUCAAAUGCGGCAAGAUUAAGCUGGCGCGCCAAGUGUUUGAGGAAAUUCCAGAGAAAGAUGUUGUGGUGUGGGGGGCGAUGAUUGCAGGUUUUGCACAUAAUAGGUUGCAAAGGGAUGCAGUGACAUACUUAAGGAAAAUGAUAGGGCAGGGGAUUGAACCGAAUUCAGCUAUUCUGACGAUGAUCCUUCCCGUAAUUGGAGAAUUAUGGGCCCGGAAAUUGGGCCGGGAAGUUCACAGCUAUGUGAUCAAAACAAAGGAUUAUGCAAAGCAUUUGUUCAUUCAGUCUGCGUUGAUUGAUAUGUAUUGCAAGUGUGGAGACAUGGUAUCAGGAAGGCAGGUCUUCUAUAGCUCAAUGGAAAGGAAUGCUGUUUCAUGGACUGCGCUCAUGUCAGGUUAUGUAUCAAAUGGGAGGCUUGAGCAAGCUCUGAGGUCUAUAAUUUGGAUGCAGCAAGAAGGAGUGAAGCCUGAUGUCGUGACAAUUGCAACUGUUCUUCCUGUUUGUGCAGAGCUGAAAGCGCUAAAACAGGGGAAAGAGAUUCAUGGAUAUGUGGUGAAGAAUUAUUUUCUACCCAAUGUGUCUUUAAUUACCUCUUUAAUAGGUUUGUACUCUAAGUGUGGUGGUUUAGAAACUUGUUGCAAGUUGUUUGAUGGAAUGGAAAAGAGGAAUGUGAUCUCAUGGACAGCAAUGAUAGAUGCAUACUUGAGUAACCACCAUCUUCAUGAAGCACUGGGUGUAUUUCGGUCAAUGCAGCUUUCUAAGCAUAGGCCAGAUUCCGUUGCUGUAGGAAGGAUUCUUAGUGCUUGUGGUGAACUGGGGAAUCUGAAACUUGGGAAAGAGUUACAUGGAUAUGUCUUAAAGAGAGAUUUUGAAUUGAUCCCUUUUAUCAGUGCAGAGAUUGUGAAAAUGUAUGGCAAGUGUCGAGUAAUUGAGAAAGCAAAGUUGGUAUUUGAUACCAUGCCUUCUAAAGGAUCCAUGGUAUGGACUGCAAUUAUCGAGGUAUAUGGAUAUAACAAUAUAUAUAGAGAUGCACUCGAUCUCUUUAAUCAAAUGAGAUCUGAUGGUUUCAGUCCAAACAAGUACACUUUUAAUGUGGUCUUAUCUAUUUGUGGUCAAGCUGGAUUUGCUGACGAGGCUUGCAAAAUAUUUAAUUGUAUGACACGGAGAUACAAUAUCAAGCCAUCGGAAGAACAUUUUUCCAUCAUAAUUGAACUUCUUAAACGUACUGGAUGGUCCGAGGAAGCCCAAAGAUUUAUCCGUAUGAAAUUUCCUGAGGCAUGAAGAGGAGGGAAGGGCCAAUUUACUUUAUUACUCAUUCACUUUACUCAUAAUAAUAAAAAGUGGGCAGAAGUGAAGGUGAAUUAUGGUUUAAAGUGCAAGAUGAUUUUUGAAAUAUAUUGCAUCCUCUCCUUUGUUCCCCUACCGUCAUCCCCUCUUCCCUAAAAAGUAGUAAAAUAUGUUAGUCUCCUCCUACUUGGAAUAUCCAUUUGGUUUCUCAAGAUCUUUACUUGACAGAAAAUGUUUCUGCUGCAAUAAGGUGAUCUCUGAUGGAUAAGCUCCAACUCCCUAACCUUCCUUUCUGGUCUGGUGCAGCAGCCUUAUGAAGGAACUGAUUGAUAUUGAGUUUCAAAUGGACUCUCCUGAAAUUAUGAAGAGUAUAUCAAACAUGAUUUGAGAUGGUAAUGCUUAUUCUAAGGUGAUGGAGAAACUAACACUGACAAGAAUUUUGGUGACAUUGGUAGGACUGAUUCUUUUUGUUUGGAGUUUGAAAAGUCUGAGUUAGAGAUUCUUGCUGAGAACAAGGGUGAAUCCAGGAUCCUGGAUGAUAAUGAACGUUCUGAAGAGCUUUGUAAUGAAAGAAAAUGCCAGAAGAAAGACUACUAUAACUUGCCAAAACCAAUGGAUGCUCAUGGUAAAGGUCCUUGUUGAUGCAUUUUAUUUCCAAGGCAUAUUUUGGUAGAGAUGAGCAAGGACAUGAACUGCUUCUUUGUUUCGAAGAUGAUGAUUAUGGUUAAAUGUAGCACAAAAGCAUACGGCAUUAUACAAAACCUGCAUAUUUCCAUUUCAAGAACCUAUACAUUGACAAGGCAUGUGCAUGGGGAUUGUCUCAAUGGAAAGCCCUGCAUAUUUCCAUUUUGAGAACCUGUAUACUUCCAAGGCACGUCACAUGUAGAUUGCCUCAAGGGUCUAGUUCAAAAGGUUUUUUAAACAUGGUCAAGGAUUGAUAGCUUAGAAGGUAAAA